rnacentral:rRNA from 1 species
UGGGGAAUAUUGGACAAUGGGCGCAAGCCUGAUCCAGCCAUGCCGCGUGAGUGACGAAGGUCUUCGGAUUGUAAAACUCUUUUUGGCGGGGACGAUAAUGACGGUACCCGCAGAAUAAGCCCCGGCUAACUUCGUGCCAGCAGCCGCGGUAAUACGAAGGGGGCUAGCGUUGUUCGGAAUCACUGGGCGUAAAGCGCACGUAGGCGGAUGUGCCAGUCAGGGGUGAAAUCCCGGAGCUCAACUCCGGAACUGCCUCUGAUACUGCACGUCUUGAGUUCGAGAGAGGUGGGUGGAAUUCCUAGUGUAGAGGUGAAAUUCGUAGAUAUUAGGAAGAACACCGGUGGCGAAGGCGGCCCACUGGCUCGAUACUGACGCUGAGGUGCGAAAGCGUGGGGAGCAAACAGGAUUAGAUACCCAUGUAGUCCCUGAGCGGGCUGGCAAGGCGCAU